UUGAUCCUGGCUCAGGAUGAACGCUGGCGGCGUGCCUAAUACAUGCAAGUCGAGCGAGAUGUUAGUGCAUGAACUUCGGGGGAUUAUAUUAACGGACAGCGGCGGACGGGUGAGUAACGCGUAGGCAACCUGCCCUUGACAGAGGGAUAGCCAUUGGAAACGAUGAUUAAAACCUCAUAACACCGUAGAAGCACAUGCUUCAACGGUCAAAGAUUUAUCGGUCAGGGAUGGGCCUGCGUCUGAUUAACUAGUUGGUGAGGUAACGGCUCACCAAGGUGACGAUCAGUAGCCGACCUGAGAGGGUGAUCGGCCACAUUGGAACUGAGACACGGUCCAAACUUCUACGGAAGGCAGCAGUAGGGAAUCUUGCACAAUGGCGAAAGCCUGAUGCAGCAACGCCGCGUGAAGGAUGAAGGCUUCGGGUUGUAAACUUCUGUUCUAAGGGAAGAAACAAAUGACGGUACCUUAGGAGCAAGCCCCGGCUAACUACGUGCCAGCAGCCGCGGUAAUACGUAGGGGGCAAGCGUUAUCCGGAAUUAUUGGGCGUAAAGAGUGCGUAGGUGGUUACCUAAGCGCAAGGUUUAAUUUAGAGGCUCAACCUCUACUUGCCUUGCGAACUGGGCUACUUGAGUGCAGGAGGGGAAAGCGGAAUUCCUAGUGUAGCGGUGAAAUGCGUAGAUAUUAGGAGGAACACCAGCGGCGAAGGCGGCUUUCUGGACUGUAACUGACACUGAGGCACGAAAGCGUGGGUAGCAAACAGGAUUAGAUACCCUGGUAGUCCACGCCGUAAACGAUGAGCACUAGGUGUUGGGUCCGUUAGGCUCAGUGCCGCAGUUAACGCAAUAAGUGCUCCGCCUGGGGAGUACGCUCGCAAGAGUAAAACUCAAAGGAAUUGACGGGGACCCGCACAAGCAGCGGACAUGUGGUUUAAUUCGAAGCAACGCGNNAGAACCUUACCAGGGCUUGACAUCCUGCUGACAGGAUCUUAACCGAUCCCUUCUUCGGACAGCAGAGACAGGUGGUGCAUGGUUGUCGUCAGCUCGUGUCGUGAGAUGUUGGGUUAAGUCCCGCAACGAGCGCAACCCUUGUCGCUAGUUACUAACAUUCAGUUGAGGACUCUAGCGAGACUGCCGAGGUCAACUCGGAGGAAGGUGGGGAUGACGUCAAAUCAUCAUGCCCCUUAUGUUCUGGGCUACACACGUGCUACAAUGGUCGGUACAAUGAGAGGCAAUACUGCGAAGUGGAGCGAAUCACCAAAACCGAUCCCAGUUCGGAUUGUAGGCUGCAACUCGCCUACAUGAAGUUGGAGUUGCUAGUAAUCGCAGAUCAGAAUGCUGCGGUGAAUGCGUUCCCGGGUCUUGUACACACCGCCCGUCACACCAUGGAAGUUGGGGGUGCCCGAAGUCGGCUAAUUAAUCUGUCGCCUAAGGCAAAACCAAUGACUGGGGUGAAGUCGUAACAAGGUA
rnacentral:rRNA from 2 species